GAGCUCUCCCCUGAGAAGAUUCCACAGCUACAUCCCACUCAACGCAUCAAAAACUCAAGUGCUGAUGGAGGUCAAGGAGCAGCUGCCAAGGCCGGAAAGGAUGCGCACCACCCCAGGAAGCACAAUCCUAACAAGUUCUGCCUCUAUCAUCGUGACCACGGUCAUGACAUAGAGGAGUGUAUCCAGCUCUGAGAUGAGAUCAAGGAGCUGAUCAGAUGAGGUUGGCUCGACAGAUUCAUUCGACGUCGACCUGAAGGUAGGAAAGAUCGGCCUAGGGCCCUGCCGCAGUCGGAGCCACC
rnacentral:lncRNA from 1 species